UACGUAGGGUGCAAGCGUUAAUCGGAAUUACUGGGCGUAAAGCGUGCGCAGGCGGUUUUGCAAGACAGAUGUGAAAUCCCGGGGCUCAACCUCGGAACUGCAUUCGAUACUUCUUUGCUGGAGUACUGGAGAGGAGAUUGGAAUUUACGGUGUAGCAGUGAAAUGCGUAGAUAUCGUAAGGAAGACCAGUGGCGAAGGCGGAUCUCUGGACAGUUACUGACACUGAGGCACGAAGGCCAGGGGAGCAAACGGG
rnacentral:rRNA from 1 species